ACCUCCACACUCUCUCUCUACCCCUCCCUCUCCCUUAUUUUCUCCUCCUAUAAUCUCUCCUGGGAGUGAAGUUGGAGGGUAGUAGAAGAGGACUUAUCUUUUUGCUGACCUUGAUGGGUUGGUUUAGUCCCAGUGUUUGAUCUCCUUCUAUUCUCCAGGUAGCCUCUUUCGUGUUUCCACUGUUUCCAUUACCCUUAUUUCCCAAUAGCCAGCUCUGCAGCUCAAACUGAGAUUAGUCUUUGCAAUAUCAGCGCUUUGAGUCUCUGGUGGCAUACCUAGUCUAAUUGGAUUUGCGUGGGUGCGUGCGGCAUAGGAUUGUUGUACUGUAUCAGUAUGUUGAAGCUGGAGCAGAAAGCGAGAGUAGCAUGAAAAUGAAAAUGUUCCUUUUGUUUUUAUUUUAACUCUCCAGAACCUUCACAAAGGGACUCGCUUCCGGAUGUUACCAUGGCAACCUGGCAGGGGCUGCCAAAGGGAGUGAAGCGGAAGGAGAGGCUGGAGCACUGUGAGGGAGAGAGAAGCCAAGCAGCUGCUCAAGCAUGGAGAGGGACAUAAAUACUCCCCCCCAGACGAUCUGAAGGUGAAGAAGUCGGAUGUGGAGGUGCUGGGCUGGCGUGGUGACACGUGGUCUGCAGUUGUGAGGCCGGUGGGACGUACUGCCAAAUUCUAUAAAACGACAUUGGAGUCAGCUUACGGUAGAGAAAUUAACAUUUCAUUCUCUGGCAACAGCUCUAGUGGAUAUUCCUGCAGUCAGCAUUCCAAUUGCACGCUCCAACAAAACUUGAGACAUGUGUUGCACUGUGUUGUGUGACAAAACUGCAUAAACUGGCCUUUUAUUGUGCCCAGCACAAGGUGCACUUGUGUAAUGAUCAUGCAGUCUUAUCAGCUUUUUUUGACACCUGUCAGGUGGAUGUAAACAAAUUUGUGCACAAAAUGUGAGUAUAAUAUUUCUGGGAUUUUAUUUCAGCUCAUGAAACAUGGGACCAACACUUUACAUGUUGCAUAUAUAUUUUUGUUCAGUGUAUAUGUAUGCCUCCAGACAAGCAGUCAUUAUUUGUAGUUGUUGAAUUCUAUUUUAAUCGCAAAUCAAGUAAUAUGACAAAUAAGCGAGGGGUGUUAUGUUAAAGGCCCAGUGAUGUCAAAACAUGCUGUGUUUUAUAUAUAUUUCCACACUGAGGUUUUAAUAAUAUUGGAAAAUUGUGAAAAUUAUGAUAAUGCCCUUUUAGUGUAAAAGCUGUUUGAAAUUACUACUCUGACAGUCUUACCAAAAUUCUUGCUUAAAAAGCUAUUUUGUUUCUUCUUCUUGUCCCCAGCUGUGUCAAGGUGCAGCAAUCUUUAUCCAUAAACACUGUAAUACAGACACAUUUGGUGGCUUUGAUGCCAUAAAGGAAGAAAUUCUCAAAGCUAUGGCAUGUAACGACAAAUUCUGUGGUGAAACAGAUCCCAGAGGGAUCCCCCUUUUCACGCGCACACACACACACACACACACGCACACAUAGACAGACAGACAAACAUACCCAAACACACACCUUUGUUUCCUGACGCCCCUCUUUCAUGUCAGAUGACCUGUCCCAACUCUCAACGUUGUGUGAUGGACCUGUGUUCGACGUCAUCACAUCAUUAAGGUUUCCACGGCAGAACCAGGGGAUUCCUUUAGAAGCUGUCACACAGGAAUUAGUUUGAAAGGGGGAAACAUGAUUCGCCAAAGCUUCCUCCAUCGAGCGUCAUGUGAAAGGGUUAGAGGGGGUGUCCCCCUGUUGUGUUAGAUGUUGUGUGCUGAGCUGCACGUGUGACAGCCUAAGACUUGAUCACACACAAAAGCAUGUUCCCACUCGCUGCUCUCUGACAGAAAGAUCCACCUUCAAAAGACCAUAAUGGAGAUUUUUUUGUUGUUGAUCUUUUUGAAUAGAAGAAGAGGAUUGUUAAUUCCUCUUACAGUAUUGGUUAAGAUGACAGCAUGUCUGAAAAGGCUUUGAGCGCAUGGAUAAUCCACAGAGGUGCGGAACACCAGAGGAUAUACCCUGGGUUCGCUUUGGUUUGACGUGAGUCACCGCAAAUGACUGACAUAUACUGUACCUGUGAACAUAUUUUUAACCUGAUGAUUAUAUCUGGUACUAUCCCCAAGGUUUGGUAGGCGGCCCAUGUACUCCCCCCCCCCCCUUCACCAAGGUGGUGACCCUUGUGACCUAAAUAAUUAUCGGCCUAUUUUUAAACUUUCUUGCCUAGCUAUAGUAUCUUUUAUUUAUUCUCAGCUAAGAUCUUUCUUAUCAUUGAAAUGUAUUCUAAAUGUUGGGUUUUAUACCAGGUUAUAGCACUGUCUCUGCUGUGUCCCUAGUUAUAAAUUAUGUGCUUAACUGUAAGAAUAAAAGGUGUCAUUGUGCUGCUCUCUUCAUAGACCUGUCAAAUGCUUUCAAUACUGUUGACCACUCAUUGCAAAUUCAGAGGCUUUACUCAAUUGGCCUAGACCAGGCUGCAAUGUAACUGGUUUUAAAAUGACUUGACAGAUGGAAUUCAAUGUGUAUCUACUGAUGGGUGUUAAAUCAGGUUUCCUGGAUAUUACGAAAGGUGUCCCGCAGGGGUCGAUUCUCUGUCCUUUCCUUUAAGUUUUACUGCUUACAUGUCUGGAAAGAAUUGUAACCUGGACUUGAAUGCCAAUGAUACUGUUGUGUAUGCUAUUUCUCCCAUGGUUGACCAGGCUCUGUCUGAACUACAGUCUGCCUUCAUUGUAAUUAUAGAAAAACUGUAUUAAACUGAAAUCAGUAUUGAAUGCAGGUAAAACUAUGUAUAUGUUCUCUAGAGUGCAUUAAAAUGUGAUUUAAGCAUAUGUACUUUGGAUGGUGUCCAUAUUGAUUGUGUCUCUGCUUAUAAAAAUAUCUGGAUAGAUGAAAAGCUGAGAAAACAAAUGGGCUUCUAUAGAAAAAAUAUGUCCUGCCUCUCGCUAAAUAGUAGAAAGUACAUAUUUCAGUCUAUGUUCUGAUCGGUCCUAGACUGAACGCAGCUGCCACUUCAUUAAAGCCGUUUGAUGCAGUUUGUCAUAGCGCGCUGCGCUUUAUUACGGGCAACAAUUUUAGUACUCAUCACCUCAUUCUCUACCAGAAAGUUGGUUGGCCCUCUUUGAUGUCAAGCAAGUUACUACAUUUUUUUUGCACCUUAUUUUUGGAAUCAGCUCCUGGAAUUAAAUGUGUUCUUUUGGUGCCUCUAGGCCAAUUCAGAAAGCUGAUUGAAGACCUUUUUACAGAUGAAUGUGUUUGUUUUUUAUGACUGUUUCUAUUUUGUAUUUAUGUAUUUUCUGUAAUGUAUGUAAUUCAGGGCUCAUCUGUAAAAGAGAUCUCGGUCUCUCAGUAUGUCUCCCUGAUAAAAUAAAGGUUAAAUUAAUUAAUUGAUUUU